rnacentral:antisense_RNA from 1 species
UGAUUGGAAAGUGAUGCCAUUCACAUUGGACACGUUUAAAUUUGAGAUGCUAGUGGAACAACCAUGUAUAGACACCUACUCGGCAAUCCUGCAUAUGAUCUCAACAUCAGAAGAAAGAUGUGGGCUGAUGACACAGAACUGAGAAUAGCCAGCGUUGCCACUGGGAGUAACCAUCACAUAUGUGGCAAAAAAGGCCAUUGGCGCAGAUACAAUCACCCAGGCGGGAUGUGUAAAAUGGAAAAAGAAGGCAACCUAGAAGCAGAAUUCAACGUAUCAGAUACAGUAAUGAAGACAAUAAGAAAUUGGAUUGAUCCAGGUCUGGAGUUUUGCCACAGAGUGAAAUGGAACAACAAUAUGCAGGAGAAGUGAGGACACUGAAUUCUACUUGAAAAUUAUACAGAAACAAUUUCUUAGAAUGCUCACAAAAGACCUGAAAACAUGGGGAGGAAGCAGGGCAUUUACAGCAGGUCUUCUCUGACACUGUGCUGGUGGGCAGGGAGCCACCUCAUUACUACCAGGCACAGCUUAUAACUCAUGCAAAACAACAUGCUGCAAUGUUCUGAUGAAAUGCUCCUCUACAGUCGAGGCUCCCAGAAGGCAGAGAGCAUAUACAUUAACUCAUUCUGCUCAACACUUAGCUCAUGUCCAUGGAGAGAUGUUGAAUAUGAGCUCCUAUUAAAAAGAGGGAAUACAAUCAAUCAUUUGAGAAUGUCCAAAAAGAACUUUUCCUUUCCAUCAAGCCUUACAAAUUAUUCUAAGAUUGUUUCUGUAAAUACCAUGUAAUUGGGAGAGAUACACAGGGAACGUCAAUUGUGUCUGUAAUGUUUUACUGCUUAUGAUAAAAAGAUCUGAAACAAAUGUGACAAAAUACUAAGAUUUCAC